rnacentral:rRNA from 1 species
CACGUAGGGUGCGAGCGUUGUCCGGAAUUAUUGGGCGUAAAGAGCUCGUAGGCGGUCUGUCGCGUCGGUCGUGAAAACCUGCAGCUUAACUGUGGGCUUGCGGUCGAUACGGGCAUGACUGGAGUUCGGCAGGGGAGACUGGAAUUCCUGGUGUAGCGGUGAAAUGCGCAGAUAUCAGGAGGAACACCAAUAGCGAAGGCAGCUCGCUGGGACGUUACUGACACUGAGGCGCGAAAGCGUGGGGAGCGAACAGG